rnacentral:rRNA from 1 species
CUGCAGCCCGAGUGGUGGUCGAUUUUAUUGAGCCUAAAGCGUCCGUAGCCGGACUAGUAAACCCUUGGGUAAAUUGGGCAGCUUAACUGUCCAAAUUCCGAGGGGACUGCUAGUCUUGGGACCGGGAGAGGUCAGAGGUACUCAAGGGGUAGGGGCUAAAUCCUGCAAUCCUUUGGGGACCACCAGUGGCGAAGGCGUCUGACUAGAACGGAUCCGACGGUAAGGGACGAAACCCUGGGGCGCGAACCGGAUUAGAUACCCGAGUAGUCC